UGUUGCUUUUAAGCUUCUGCAUAUUUAGUUUUGGUUUUGUUUAUUUGUGUGUGUAUAGUUUAAAGUAACUCUGAAAAGUCAACAAGUUUAUUUGAUCAAUUAAUCACAUGAGUUCUCAUAUUUGAAAUAGCUGUGCUGUAGUUACCUAUAUUUUCAGGAAGUUUAAUGUAGGGUGGACCACAUGGACAGCUCCUUAGUGGUCAAUGAAAAUAAGGACAUUUUCUUCAGCGUCACUAAUGAUCUGUCACAACAUCAGACGUGAGUCUCCAUAUCCUCCUCUGUAGGUUUUUCUGUGUCCUACCAAGCACACAUCAGUUUUCUCACAUGACAAUCUUUGUGUGGAGUUCACUUCACUGACGGAAGAACGUGGAAAAUAUGUCUUUGUCUUAUAUUCUUCUCAUUUAUGUUGCCGGAGUUGCGGUAAAAGAAAGUUGUGCAGAUUCGGUUCCCACUCCCACUAUUGUAUUUUCCCCUGAUUACAUCAAUGUAGCUACACCUGUUACAGUACGCUGUGAGUCACCAGAAGGCACAGAGUGCAUUUUCUACAGAGAUCACGACCCCAAACCUAUAAGAACAGUGGAUUACAAGCAGGGUGCUUGCCAGUUCAAGUUGUUAUGGAAUGAGUUCAAAAAGUGGAACAAGACUGAAGUAGAUCUCAGCUGUGUAAUUCUACAGAACAGAGAAGAUAAAACGAUCAAAACCUCAAAACCUAGUGAUGCUCGAAGACUUAAUGUGGGUGAUCCAAUUGGAAUGCCCAGUGUUCAUGUGGAGAAGAUCGGGAAUUACCUCAAUCUUCGAUGUGAGUGCAAGGCUGGCACCUCAUGCUACUUUUAUCUGAACAAUGGUGACUCACACUUCAAAAAACUACCCUACAAAGACAAUGUCUGUGUGGGGAGAGUGGCAGAAGAGGAACUGCAGAGGAAGAGGAGCAGUGCUGGAGAGAUCUUCAUCACCUGUGCUGUGGAGCUGUUGGUAGAGGGUGAAGAUACUGUGACAUCACAGCGUAGUGAAUCCCUCGGUAUCACCAUAGAUGUUGUAAAUCCUCCAGGAGCUACUAGUUCCCCAUCAGCGUUCAGUUUAAUCAUAACUGGUCAGGAGGAGACAAGCAGCAAUGUCACAGCCCAAGGAAGAGUUUCUUCAGGUCCAGUGUUCCUCGUCAUCAUCAGUCUGGGUGCUGGUUCCCUUUUCCUGGUUCUGCUAGCUGGGUCUGUGCUGUGUGUUCUCCAACGCAAUUGUGGGGUUCAAUGCAGGCCUGUAAAUACUGGAAGCCCACCUGAGCAGCAAGACCAAACCCCACCUUGUGUCUAUUCUGUCAUCACAAAGCCGUCUAGGGAUGAGGAAGAGGACAGUAGUCUGCAAUACGCUACUGUGACAUCUACCAGUGACCAAGCUAGUCUUCAAUAUGCAACAGUGACAUCUACCGGUAACCAAGUUGGACCUGGGCGCACCAAGAUCAAGUUUGAAAAAGCUGGAGAGUGGCAGGUUUGGGACCUUCAAAGAACUCCUAACCAUGAUCCAAUGAAUGUGCUGCUGGUGCCUUAUGUGGGACAAGGAGAAUCAGACAAACACUUGGAUUACCCAGGAGAAGAAGCACCAGAUCUCAGUAAGCCUGAAGUUUGUGACCCUGACUGAAGUGGUUGAGCUGAGCUGCGAGUCCUCUGCCCUUGUAGAGGGUCAGCAGUGAUUGUUCUAUGUGGAUUCUAAACUCAAGGAGCUUGGUCGCUCAAAUGCCAGCCACAACCAAUGCUCCCUCCCAGUUAAGGGGUCAGAGCUGCUUGGGUGGAAGCCAGAGGGCUGUGGUCAAAAGUCACCAUCCAGUGUCAUUACGAAAAGGACUCACCUCCCAGCAAAAAUGUCACAGUGGUGGUGUGGAACACAAACAUGCUGACUAAGUACAUCAUCGGAUGUAUGGCCCUGAUAGGAUUCAUGAUUCUACCUGCAGUAUUCAUAUUCUACAUCACCUGUCUCCUCUCACUGAAAGCAAAGAGGAACGGACACCUCGUCAUAACAAGAUCGCCCAGUGACCAGACAUUGCCAGGAGACACUACCGUAACAAGAAGGUGAAGAUGAUUGGUGCUAUGCCACCGUGUCCCAUGCUGAUGCUCCUCCAUCCUACUCAGUCAAGUUUGAGGAAGGCCAUGACUAUGCCACAAUGGUCAUAUACUGACCAGCAUGUGCCGACCUGAAUGGACAUGAAAGGACUUCCACAUAGAUAGAUUGUUUGACUUUAACACCUCCAUUUAAAUUUUCUUUCCAAUAAAUCAAUUGCACUAAUCUA